rfam:Glossina morsitans morsitans, isolate Yale, WGS project CCAG01000000 data, contig: ctg10001224
CGAUUAUGGAAUUUGGCAAGAUGUCGGAAUAGCUGAAAAUUACAACAAUCUAUUUUACAUAUAACGGCUAUGCCUCAUCUAGUCAAUUGCCAUU